rnacentral:lncRNA from 1 species
UACCUAAGAGGACAUGCAUUAAGUGAAUAUGCUCUUAUAUAAAUUUCACCUGUGAAUUAAUUUACUUCGUGCAGUGCUUGGAUUAAGCUGGCAGAACAUGAGAACCACAUCAGCAUGAUCAAAGGCAAAAGUUCUCUGGAAGAGGAACAUUCUUCAAAUGACCUGACAUGGUAUCUGACACCACUUUCAUCACCAUCCAUGUCAGAUUUG